rnacentral:rRNA from 1 species
ACUCCUACGGGAGGCAGGCAGUGGGGAAGUAUUGCACAAUGGGCAGGCAAGCCUGAUGCAGCCAUGCCGCGUGUGUGAAGAAGGCCUUCGGGUUGUAAAGCACUUUCAGUCGGUGAGGAAGGUAGUGUAGUUAACUAGCUGCUAUUAUUUGACGUUAGCGAACAGAAGAAGCACCGGCUAACUCCGUGCCAGCAGCCGCGGUAAUACGGAGGGUGCGAGCGUUAAUCGGAAUUACUGGGCGUAAAGCGCAUGCAGGUGGCUUUGUUAAGUCAGAUGUGAAAGCCCGGGGCUCAACCUCGGAAUUGCAUUUGAAACUGGCAGACUAGAGUACUGUAGAGGGGGG